rnacentral:rRNA from 1 species
CGCAUCUGUGCAUGCAGCAUAUCAAUAAGCGGAGGAAAAGGAAACUAACAAGGAUUCCCCUAGUAACGGCGAGUGAAGCGGGAAGAGCUCAAAUUUGAAAUCUUAAAGGGUUUCCCUUUACGAAUUGUAGUUUAAAGAAGUGUUUUCUGUUGAGGUUUUGGUAAAAGUUCUUUGGAAUAGGACAUCAUAGAGGGUGAGAAUCCCGUAUUUGACCUUUACUUUCAACUUUGUGAUACACUUUCAAAGAGUCGGAUUGUUUGGGAAUGCAGUCCAAAAUGGGUGGUAAAUUUCAUCUAAAGCUAAAUAUUGGCGAGAGACCGAUAGCGAACAAGUACCGUGAGGGAAAGAUGAAAAGAACUUUGAAAAGAGAGUUAAACAGUACGUGAAAUUGUCAAGAGGGAAGCGUUUGACACCAGUGUUGUUUUUCUCGAAAAUCAAUUAAAGAAUGCUCGAUUUAUGUAAUUGCUGUAGACCUUAUAAGCUCACUGUACAGUUUUGCGUGUCUUUUUAAUGCACUUUUCAGUUAACAAGUCAACAUCAAUUUCUUUUGCUGUAAAAAAGCUUGAGGAAGGUGGCUUGAGAUUCGUCUUAAGUGUUUAUAGCCUCUUGCCUAUGCAGUCGGAGAGAUUGAGGUCUGCAGCGUAGAUCCUUCGGGGCUAAAUGCAUUUGUGCUAAGUUAUAGCAUUUUAUAGACAACUUGUUGACUAUGAUUUGUCUUGUAGCUUACUCGCUUAUGCUAUUUACCUACGCUUAGGAUGUUGAUAGUCACAGCGUGUAC